rnacentral:rRNA from 1 species
CAUGCAAGUCGAACGGAAGUUUAAGCAAUUAAACUUUAGUGGCGAACGGGUGAGUAACGCGUAAGCAAUCUGCCCCUAAGACGAGGAUAACAGUUGGAAACGACUGCUAAGACUGGAUAGGAGACAAGAAGGCAUCUUCUUGUUUUUAAAAGACCUAGCAAUAGGUAUGCUUAGGGAGGAGCUUGCGUCACAUUAGUUAGUUGGUGGGGUAAAGGCCUACCAAGACUAUGAUGUGUAGCCGGGCUGAGAGGUUGAACGGCCACAUUGGGACUGAGACACGGCCCAAACUCCUACGGGAGGCAGCAGUAGGGAAUUUUCGGCAAUGGAGGAAACUCUGACCGAGCAACGCCGCGUGAACGAUGAAGUAUUUCGGUACGUAAAGUUCUUUUAUUAGGGAAGAAUAAAUGAUGGAAAAAUCAUUCUGACGGUACCUAAUGAAUAAGCCCCGGCUAACUAUGUGCCAGCAGCCGCGGUAAUACAUAGGGGGCAAGCGUUAUCCGGAAUUAUUGGGCGUAAAGGGUGCGUAGGCGGUUAAAUAAGUUUAUGGUCUAAGUGCAAUGCUCAACAUUGUGAUGCUAUAAAAACUGUUUAGCUAGAGUAAGAUAGAGGCAAGUGGAAUUCCAUGUGUAGUGGUAAAAUGCGUAAAUAUAUGGAGGAACACCAGUAGCGAAGGCGGCUUGCUGGGUCUUUACUGACGCUGAGGCACGAAAGCGUGGGGAGCAAACAGGAUUAGAUACCCUGGUAGUCCACGCCGUAAACGAUGAGUACUAAACGUUGGGUAAAACCAGUGUUGAAGUUAACACAUUAAGUACUCCGCCUGAGUAGUACGUACGCAAGUAUGAAACUUAAAGGAAUUGACGGGACUCCGCACAAGCGGUGGAUCAUGUUGUUUAAUUCGAAGGUACCCGAAAAACCUCACCAGGUCUUGACAUGCUUCUGCAAAGCUGUAGAAACACAGUGGAGGUUAUCAGUUGCACAGGUGGUGCAUGGUUGUCGUCAGCUCGUGUCGUGAGAUGUUGGGUUAAGUCCCGCAACGAGCGCAACCCUUAUUGUUAGUUACCAGCACGUAAUGGUGGGGACUUUAGCAAGACUGCCAGUGAUAAAUUGGAGGAAGGUGGGGACGACGUCAAAUCAUCAUGCCCCUUAUGACCUGGGCUACAAACGUGAUACAAUGGCUGUUACAAAGGGUAGCUGAAGCGCAAGUUUUUGGCGAAUCUCAAAAAAACAGUCUCAGUUCGGAUUGAAGUCUGCAACUCGACUUCAUGAAGUUGGAAUCGCUAGUAAUCGCGAAUCAGCAUGUCGCGGUGAAUACGUUCUCGGGGUUUGUACACACCGCCCGUCAAACCACGAAAGUUGGCAAUACCCAAAGCCGGUGGCCUAACUUCGCGAGAAGAGGGAACCGUCUAAGGUAGGGUCGAUGAUUGGGGUUAAG